GACGAACGCUGGCGACGCGCUUAACACAUGCAAGUCGAACGGAAAGGCCUGCUUUCCCUUGUGGAUUGCGGGUACUCGAGUGGCGAACGGGUGAGUAACACGUGAGUGAUCUGCCCCCAACUUGGGUAUAAGCCUGGGAAACUGGGUCUAAUUCCCGAUAGGACUGCAGGGUGGUGCCUGUGGUGGAAAACGAUUUUCUAGUGGUUGGGGAUGAGCUCGCGGCCUAUCAGCUUGUUGGUGGGGUAAUGGCCUACCAAGGCGGCGACGGGUAGCCGGCCUGAGAGGGUGGACGGCCACAUUGGGACUGGGAUACGGCCCAGACUCGUACGGGAGGCAGCAGUGGGGAAGAUUGCACAAUGGGCGGAAGCCUGAUGCAGCGACGCCGCGUGGGAGAUGACGGCCUUCGGGUUGUAAACUCCUUUCGACCGCGAGGAAGCCACCUGGUUGGAAGGGUGGUGACGGUAGUGGUAGAAGAAGCACCGGCUAACUACGUG
rnacentral:rRNA from 1 species